GACGAACGCUGGCGGCGUGCUUAACACAUGCAAGUCGAACGGUAAGGCCUUUCGGGGUACACGAGUGGCGAACGGGUGAGUAACACGUGGGUGAUCUGCCCUGCACUUCGGGAUAAGCCCGGGAAACUGGGUCUAAUACCGGAUAGGACUGCGCGGUGCAUGCCGUGUGGUGGAAAGAUUUAUCGGUGCAGGAUGGGCCCGCGGCCGAUCAGCUUGUUGGUGGGGUAAUGGCCUACCAAGGCGACGACGGGUAGCCGGCCUGAGAGGGCGACCGGCCACACUGGGACUGAGACACGGCCCAGACUCCUACGGGAGGCAGCAGUGGGGAAUAUUGCACAAUGGGCGCAAGCCGGAUGCAGCGGCGCCGCGUGAGGGAUGACGGCCUUCGGGUUGUAAACCUCUUUCGGCAGGGACGAAGCGUGAGUGACGGUACCUGCAGAAGAAGCACCGGCCAACUACGUG
rnacentral:rRNA from 1 species